AUUGAACGCUGGCGGCAGGCCUAACACAUGCAAGUCGAGCGGAGCUACGGCCGGGUGAGUAAUGCCUAGGAAUCUGCAAGGUAGUGGGGGAUAACGGCCGGAAACGGGCGCUCAUACAGCAUACAAUCAGAUGAGCCUAGGUCGGAUUAGCUCGUUGGUGGGUUAAAGGCCUACCAAGGCGACGAUCCGGAACUGGUCUGAGAGGAUGAGUAGUCAAACUGGAAAUGAGACACGGUCCAGACUCCUACGGGAGGCAGCAGUGGGUAAUAGUGAACAAUGGGCGAAAGCCUGAUCCAGCCAUGCCGAGUGUGUGAAGAAGUUCUUCGGAGUGUAAAGCACUUUAAGUUGGGAGGCGUUACCAACAGAAUAAGCACAGGAUAACUUCGUGCCAGCAGCCGCGGUAAUAC
rnacentral:rRNA from 1 species